rnacentral:lncRNA from 1 species
CGAUUUUAAUGAAUGGAUAAUUAAUGGAAUCGGAUAUUUAAGACCAAAUGAAGAAGAAGAAAAGAAAAAAGAUAUUUUACAAAAAAUAAAUGAAUUAAAUAACAUACUCAAUAGUAGUAAUAAGACAUAUAGUGACAAAAAUAAUGGGAUGAACAAUAAUGAAAAACAAGUAGAUAUUAAUAAAAUUGUGAACGAAAUAGAACAUAAUAAAGUUGUUUAUGAUGAAGAUAAAGAUAUAAUUAUUGACAUUAUUAAAAAAAUUGGAAUAUGGUUAAAUAAAUCGGAAAAUAAAUUAAACUGUUCUGGUAUUGUAGAUGGUACUUCUUUUGAAACUACUAAUGUACAACCACAAAUGAACAAAAAACAAGUACAAAUUUCCAAUACAAUAAGUGACGAAAAAAAAAACGAUAUUUUUAAUAAAAACAUGUAUACACAACAUAAAAAUAAGAUUGAAGAUGGUAGUUUAUGUGAUAAUAAAAGUAAUAAUACAUAUACAAACAAAAAUGAUAAUAAAAAUUCUAUUUUUCAAAAUAGUGAUAAUUUAUAUGAUUUGUUAAGUGGAAAUACGAAAAGGCAUAACAAUAUUUAUUCAAAAAAUGAGCAUUUUCUAACAAAUAAUAACUCUGUAAAUAGUACCAGCUGUAACAAUAAUAAUCUGCUGAUAGACAAAACUAAAACAACAAAUAAUAUAUCUGUUUUGAAAAAAGAAUCGUUUAGUAAACAUAAUGAAAUGAUAGAGCAUCAAAAAAUGCAUAAUAAUAUUAUAACAAAUAAUAGCUUCGAUGAUUGUCCAUUAUAUAUCGAAAUAGAAAAUCCAUAUGUUCGAUUACUUGCACAUACUAUUAUUACAAAGUAUUUUAACAACAUUUUUUGUAUGUCUGUUAAAGUAAAUGAUAAAAAACAUUUGGCUAUUUAUAAAAGUGAAAAAGAUUCAUAUAAAGAGCAAAUAAGAACUUAUGAAUUGGAAAUAGAAAAAAUUAAUAAAACGGUUGGUGUUCGUUUAUUAUUUGAUGAAAUUAUAAAAAAUAAAAAAAUUAUAGUUGGUCAUAAUUGUUUUUAUGAUAUUUUACAUAUAUAUCAAACCUUUUAUAAUGAACUCCCAAAUUCUAUUGGUGUUUUUAAAAAAAAAUGGACGCAGUUAUUUCCAUAUACUUUUGAUACAAAAUAUAUGAACGAAACAAAUGAAUAUUUAUAUGCUUUGAAUGGUCCAGCAACAUUGAAAGGGUUAUGUGAAUACAUGGCUUCAUUAAUUUCGUCUACUAAUGAUUUUGGUUUUGUUUUAAAUUUUAUGAAUGGAAAUAAUAUAGAUGUACCACAUUGUCUUGUUCCAUUUGUUCAUAAUAAUAAUGGGGUUAGUUUUUUUACAGAGUGCCAUGAGAAAGAUGCUCACGUGAAAAAUGGUUAUGUUGGUCAGGAGGAAGUAACCCGUGCAUAUGCUUUAAACGGUACUAGUAGCGACAGCCGAAAUAGUAGUAA